GUUGAUCCUGCGGGAGGUUGCUGCUAUUGGGAUUCGAUUUAGCCAUGCAAGUCAAGGGGCCGCAAGGCACCGGCAUAAGGCUCAGUAACACGUCGUUAAUCUGCCCUAUUGUUCUGGAUAGUCUUGGGAAACUGAGUUUAAACCAGAAUGGAAGAUGGAAUCUGGAACGAUCUUUCUCCGAAAAGCAAUGCGAUAGGAUGAGACGGCGGUGGAUUAGGUUGUUGGCGGGGUAAUGGCCCACCAAGCCGAGGAUCCAUAGGGGCCCUGAAAGGGGUAGCCCCGAGAAGGCUACUGAGAUACUGACCCUAGCCCUACGGGGUGCAGCAGGCGCGAAAUCUCUACAAUGCACGAAAGUGUGAUAGGGGGAUCCCAAGUGCUUAUGCUUAGCAUAAGCUUUUGCCAAGAGUAAAUAUCUUGGAGAAUAAGUGGUGGGUAAGACUGGUGCCAGCCGCCGCGGUAACACCAGCGCCACAAGUGGUGACCGCUUUUAUUGGGCCUAAAGCGUUCGUAGCUGGUUUGUUAAAUCUUCUGUGAAAUCGUUCUCUUAAAAGGAACGAAGGGCAGAAGAGACUGGCAGACUAGGAACCGGGAGGAGUAAGGAGUAUUCCUAUGGGAGCGGUAAAAUGCUAUAAUCAUAGGAAGACUACCAGUGGCGAAGGCGUCUUACUAGAACGGUUUCGACAGUGAGGAACGAAAGCUAGGGGAGCGAACCGGAUUAGAUACCCGAGUAGUCCUAGCUGUAAACGCUGCGAGCUAGGUGUUGCAUAAUCCUCGUGAUUGUGCAGUGUCGAAGCGAAGGUGUUAAGCUCGCCGCCUGGGAAGUAUGGUCGCAAGACUGAAACUUAAAGGAAUUGGCGGGGGAGCACCACAAGGGGUGCGGCGUGCGGUUUAAUCGAACUCAACGCCGAGAAUCUCACCAGAGGCGACGGCAGUAUGAAAGUCAGGUUGAAGACCUUACUAGACAAGCCGAGAGGUGGUGCAUGGCCGUCGUCAGCUCGUGCCGUAAGGUGUCCUCUUAAGUGAGGUAACGAGCGAGACCUGCACCCAUAAUUGCUAACGACUUGUAAAAGGAUCGAGCACAAUGUGGGGACUGCCUUGGAAACAAGGAGGAAGGUGCAGGCUACGGUAGGUCUGUAUGCCCCGAAUCCUCUGGGCUACACGCGCGCAACAAUGGUACGGACAAUGGGAUACAACUCCGAAAGGAGGAGUUAAACCUCGAAACCGUACUUUAGUUCAGAUUGAGGGUUGUAACUCACCCUCAUGACGAUGGAAUCCCUAGUAAUCGGACGUCAUCAGCAUCCGGUGAAUGUGUCCCUGCUCCUUGCACACACCGCCCGUCAAACCAACCGAGUAGGGUUUAGAUGAGGAUUAAUUUUCUUGAUUAAUUCGAAUCUAAGCUUUGUGAGGUGGGUUAAGUCGUCACAAGGUA
rnacentral:rRNA from 1 species